rnacentral:lncRNA from 1 species
AUGGGGGUCUCAUGCCCUGGACCUCCUGAAUUCACAGUUUUCACAAUAUACAUGAUCUUUGCAUCAUCCAGGUUAAAUCUACCACAUCAACUGCAGCGAUCACAAACCGUAGUGCCUGAGGCCAGCUGUGAAUGCCACUGCAGCAAAGCUGUCACCACUGCUUAUCCAGACUGUGCAGAGGGAAAGCCUGCUUGGGAUGUGCAGCUCAGACAGUCUAAGUUGUCUUCUUGGCUUUAA